rnacentral:rRNA from 1 species
AUUGAACGCUGGCGGCAGGCCUAACACAUGCAAGUCGAACGGUAACAGGAAACAGCUUGCUGUUUCGCUGACGAGUGGCGGACGGGUGAGUCAUGUCUGGGAAACUGCCUGAUGGAGGGGGAUAACUACUGGAAACGGUAGCUAAUACCGCAUAACGUCGCAAGCCCAAAGAGGGGGACCUUCGGGCCGCUUGCCAUCGUGGGUGCCCAGCUGGGCUUAGCUAGUAGGUGGGGUAACGGCUCACCUAGGUGACGAUCCGUAGGUGGUCUGAGAGGAUGACCAGCCACACGGGAACUGAGACACGGACCAGACUCCUACGGGAGGCAGCAGUGGGGAAUAUUGCACAAUGGGCGCAAGCCUGAUGCAGCCAUGCCGCGUGUAUGAAGAAGGCCUUCGGGUUGUAAAGUACUUUCAGCGGGGAGGAAGGGAGUAAAGUUAAUACCUUGACUCAUUGACGUUACCCGCAGAAGAAGCACCGGCUAACUCCGUG